AACGCGAAGAACCUUACCCAGGUUUGAAAUACAGGAGACGAUAUCAGAGAUGAUAUUUUCCGCAAGGACUGCUGUACAGGUGCUGCAUGGCUGUCGUCAGCUCGUGCCGUGAGGUGUUGGGUUAAGUCCCGCAACGAGCGCAACCCUUAUCAUUAGUUGCCAACACGCGAGGUGGGGACUCUAAUGAGACUGCCGAGGUUAACUCGGAGGAAGGUGAGGAUGACGUCAAGUCCGCAUGGCCUUUAUAUCUGGGGCUACACACGUGCUACAAUGGCCGGUACAGAAGGCAGCAAAGCCGCAAGGUAGAGCAAAUCCGCUAAAGCCGGUCUCAGUUCAGAUUGUAGUCUGCAACUCGACUACAUGAAGUUGGAAUUGCUAGUAAUGACGUGUCAGCAACAACGUCGUGAAUACGUUCCCGGGCCUUGUA
rnacentral:rRNA from 1 species